GAUGAACGCUAGCGGCAGGCCUAACACAUGCAAGUCGAGGGAGAAGCCCUUUCGGGGGCAGAAACCGGCGCACGGGUGCGUAACGCGUAUGCAACCUACCUUUCACCUGGGGAUAGCCCGAAGAAAUUUGGAUUAAUAUCCCAUAAUAUUGUUGGAUGACAUCCUUUGGCAAUUAAAACUGCGGUGGUGAUAGCUGGGCAUGCGUCCUAUUGGCUAGUUGGAGUGGUAACGGCACCCCAAGGCUACGAUAGGGAGGGGUCCUGAGAGGGAGAUCCCCCACACUGGUACUGAGACAGGGACCAGACUCCUACGGGAGGCAGCAGUGAGGAAUAUUGGUCAAUGGUCGGAAGACUGAACCAGCCAUGCCGCGUGCAGGAAGAAUGCCUUAUGGGUUGUAAACUGCUUGUAUAUAGGAAGAAUAAGGCGUACGUGUACGUUGAUGACGGUACCAUAUGAAUAAGCAUCGGCUAACUCCGUG
rnacentral:rRNA from 1 species